GUGCUCACUUCGGCAGCACAUAUACAAAAA
rnacentral:snRNA from 1 species